CAAGCUGGUUGAUCCUGCCAGUAGUCAUAUGCUUGUCUCAAAGAUUAAGCCAUGCAUGUCCAAGUAUAAACACGUUUGUACUGUGAAACUGCAGAUGGCUCAUUACAACAGUUAUAGUUUAUUUGACAUUGAACUGUUACACGGAUAACCGUAGUAACCUAGGGCUAAUACGUGACAAACCCUGCUCGCAGGAGUGCAUAUUAGCUGAAAACCAACUUUGGUUGAAUAAUAAUAUUUGUCGGAUCGCGUUGGCCUCGCCAGCGACAUGUCAUUCAAGUUUCUGACCUAUCAGCUGGACGGUAGGGUAUUGGCCUACCGUGGCUUUGACGGGUAACGGGGAAUGCGGGUUCGAUUCCGGAGAGGCAGCCUGAGAAACGGCUACCACAUCCACGGGAGGCAGCAGGUGCGCAAAUUACCCAAUUCUGACUCAGAGAGGUAGUGACAAGAAAUAACGAUCGGCGGCCUUCGGUUGCCUAUUCGGAAUGAGAACAAUGUAAAAGCCUUAUCGAAUUCCAGCGGAGGGCAAGCCUGGUGCCAGCAGCCGCGGUAAUACCAGCUCCGCUAGCGUAUACUAAAGUUGUUGCUGUUAAAACGCUCGUAGUUGGAUAUCUGCCCCGCCCGGGCCGGACUCGCGACGCACCUGCGCCUGCGGCCGGCCGCCGGGGCAUAAUUCAGGAACGCCGGUCUGGCCAUUCGAUUGGUCGGGCCGCUGGUCCUGAUCCUUUACUUUGAGAAAAUUAAAGUGCUCAAAGCAGGCUCGCGCCUGAAUGCAUUAGCAUGGAAUAAUAAGACACGACUUCGGCGCCGCCACUCGUGGCGGGUGUUUUGUUGGUUUUGAGCUGGAGUAAUGAUUGAUAGAAACAAUUGGGGGUGCUAGUAUCGCCGGGCCAGAGGUAAAAUUCUUUAAUUCCGGUGAGACUAACUUAUGCGAAAGCAUUCACCAAGCGUGUUUUCUUUAAUCAAGAACUAAAGUUGGGGGAUCGAAGACGAUCAGAUACCGUCGUAGUCCCAACCAUAAACGAUGUCGACUAAGCAUUGGGCUACCAAACUUCCUCAGCACUUUAUGAGAAAUCAAAGUUUUCGGACUCAGGGGGAAGUAUGCUCGCAAGAGUGAAACUUAAAGGAAUUGACGGAAGGGCACCACAAGAUGUGGAGCCUGCGGCUUAAUUUGAUUCAACACGGGAAAACUUACCAGGUCCAGACAUAGUAAGGAUUGACAGAUUAAAGUUCUUUCUUGAUUCUAUGCAUGGUGGUGCAUGGCCGUUCUUAGUUCCUAGGGUGACCCCUCUGGUUAAUUCCGAUAACGGACGAGACCCCACCCAUCUAACUAGCCGGCGCUAACCCGGCGCCCAGCGCCCGUUAGCGGGGUGCAGCAUUGCGCGCCCGGCUUCUUAGAGGGACUAUCUGUGUCUCCAGCAGAUGGAAGAUUGGGGCAAUAACAGGUCAGGAUGCCCUUAGAUGCUCUGGGCUGCACGCGCGCUACAAUGAUGCGUUCAACGAGUUUGACCCGGCUUGACAAGGCCGGGUAAUCUUCAACGCGCAUCCAAGUGGGGAUAGAUGAUUGCAAUUGUUCAUCUUGAACAAGGAAUAUCUAGUAAACGCAAGUCAUCAACUUGCAUUGAUUACGUCCCUGCCCUUUGUACACACCGCCCGUCGCUUCUACCGAUUGAAUAAUGAGGUGAAUUAGGUGGAUAAGAGCCGCCUCGGCGCGUUCUUAGAAGCUUUGUGAACCUUGUUAUUUAGAGGAAGGAAAAGUCGUAACAAGGUUUCCGUAGGUGAACCUGCGGAAGGAUCAUUAUUAUACUUAUAUUU
rnacentral:rRNA from 1 species